GCUGCUUCUCCGUCUGCUCAAUGUCUGAAAACAAGCAAGAGGCCAUUAACGGAAUGAGUCAUUUUUUCAUCCUGCACCAUGACCGCUAAUGGAGAGGAGGUGAACAAAGACAAUGAAACAGAGAAGGUGGCAGCUUAUGGGAUGGCAAUGUAAACUCUGCACAUUUGUGGAUUCGUCAAAAGGAGUACUUCUGAAGCAUUAUCGAGUGGAACAUGGUACCUUUAGUCAUGGAUAUUCAGUACCCUGUCUUCAUUUAAACUGUCCUUGCUCCUUUAAGACCUGGGUUAGCUUGCGUGUACACUUGUUUAGAUCCCACAGGUUGCAAGAAACUGAAGAGUGUGAAGUGGUGCAAUCUUUCAAAUGUAAAAUUUGUGACUCAUUUUAUCCUAAUACCAAAGACUAUUUUCAACAUAUUAAUUCCCACUUGAAAAGACUUGAAACAAUAGAAUGUGCUUUUGAUGGAUGUGAUUUCAAGACAAACAUAUAUGGGACUUAUGCGACACACAGAAGUAGGAAACACAAGUCCUAUUCAUGGAAAGAUUUUAAGGCUGAUGUGAUUGAAAAACAUCCCUUUCGUAAUGAGAAUGAUAUCGACUUUCCAGUGUUGGAAUUAUAUGGACAUGUGGACAUAGAUACCACCUUAGAGUUGAAACUGGCAGAGGAGGUGAUGAAGAUUUAUGUGAGCCGCAACCAAGAUGGGUCAGUUGAGGAACCUACUGAUGUAGAGAUUGUGACUGAGGGCAUCACUGUCCUCAGCAGCCUUGUAGAUCUUAGCAGAGCCUGCUGCUAUCUGUUGGGACUAACCUAUGUCUUGGAUCUGAGAUACCCCAAGAAUCUCAAAUUCAGUUUUGAGGUAUUCCAAAAAGUACUGCUGGAGCUUGAUCCUGUAAACUUUUCAAACAAGGUUCAGAGACUGAAAAAUUAUCUGCGUAUGUAGUUUUAGCAAGAUGCUCUCCUUACUUGGGAAUUGCCUUUUGGACUGUUGUUGUUUGCUGUUUACUUACUCUAUAUGAAUGUAAAGUCUUCCUGUUCUGGGUUUGUU